CUCAUUUGAUCCUCAAAGCAGCCCUGCAGGAUGGGCCGUGCAAGGACUAUUGUUUCUUUCUUAUGUAUGACAAAUCUGAAGAUCGGGGGGAUGUCAGGGACUUGCUCAAGUUUUUGUAGCCAAUUCAACGUGCUAUUGAGUAGUUGCUGUCCUGGGUUUUGGGGGCCAUGGGAGCCCUGCAGACAGCACAUGAACCAGGCAGCCCUGUCCACACCCCUCGUGGGCCUCCCAGUGUGGCGAUAAAGAAGGAAGAGGCUGGGCACGGUGGCUCAUACCUGUAAUUCCAGCACUUUGGGAGGCCGAAGACGGUGGAUCACGAGGUCAGAGAUUCGAGACCAGCCUGGCCAGCAUGGUGAAACCCUGUCUGUACUAAGAAUACAAAAAAUUAGCCAGGUGUCGUGGCGCAUACCUGUAACCCCAGCUACUCGGGAGGCUGAAGCAGGAGAAUUGCUUGAACCCAGGAGGCGGAGGUUACAGUGAAUCAAAAUUGCGCCACUACACUCCAGCCUGGGUAACAAAGUGAGACUCAAAAUAAAUAAAUAAAUAAAUAAAAAGGAGGAGGAAAGCAUUCAAUGA
rnacentral:lncRNA from 1 species